GACGAACGCUGGCGGCGUGCCUAAUACAUGCAAGUAGAACGCUGAAGGAGGAGCUUGCUUCUCCGGAUGAGUUGCGAACGGGUGAGUAACGCGUAGGUAACCUGCCUGGUAGCGGGGGAUAACUAUUGGAAACGAUAGCUAAUACCGCAUAAGAGUAGAUGUCGCAUGACAUUUGCUUAAAAGGUGCAACUGCACCACUACCAGAUGGACCUGCGUUGUAUUAGCUAGUUGGUGAGGUAACGGCUCACCAAGGCAACGAUACAUAGCCGACCUGAGAGGGUGAUCGGCCAAACUGGGACUGAGACACGGCCCAGACUCCUACGGGAGGCAGCAGUAGGGAAUCUUCGGCAAUGGACGGAAGUCUGACCGAGAAACGCCGCGGGAGUGAAGAAGGUUUUCGGAUCGUAAAGCUCUGUUGUAAGAGAAGAACGAGUGUGAGAGUGGAAAGUUCACACUGUGACGGUAUCUUACCAGAAAGGGACGGCUAACUACGUG
rnacentral:rRNA from 1 species